AUAACAUUUCCAACAUUUGAUGGAACAAAUCCCAUGGAGUGGUUGAGAACUACUGAGAAAUUUUUCUCUAUGGUGUAUGUUCCAGAAGAAGCAAACUGGGACUAUGCUCAAAUGUAUCUCACUGGCAAAGCAGACACAUGGCUGAGAAACUCUGGAGUAUUAGAUGGAAACCUCACUUGGGACCAAUUUUGUGCUGUUGUACUCAAGAGAUUUUCAGAAAAUAGCCCCUAUGAAGUGGUAGAAAGCUUCAACUCCAUCAAACAAGGCUCCAAAAAAUGGCAUCCUAUAAGAAAGAAAACUCAGGGGCUAGUGAAAGCUACUAUGUGAAAUGUUUUGUCAAUGGGCUGAGGCCUGAAAUCAAGCACUACCUCAAACCCUUCAAGCCACAAACACUGUAUGAGGCAGUCGAAACUGCCAGAGACAUGGAGUUAGGGGUACAAGCCCAAGCGUCAUAGAGGAAAUUCUCUUCCUACGGUGGAUAUCAGAAGAAUCUCACCAAAAGUACAUGCACCGAUAGCACUGCCAUCAAGAAGGACGGAGAUAGCAAAACCAAUCAAAGACCUGAGAUUAAAUAUCGAGAACCAGGAGUCUGCAGAUACUGUGGGGGAAAGUGGUUCUUUGGCCACAAA
rnacentral:rRNA from 1 species